UUGUAGUCUGCAACCCGGCUACAUGAAGCUGGAAUCGCUAGUAAUCGCGGAUCAGAAUGCCGCGGUGAAUACGUUCCCGGGUCUUGUACACACCGCCCGUCACACCAUGGGAGUCGGAAAUGCCCGAAGUCUGUGACCCAACCUCAGGGAGGGAGCAGCCGAAGGCAGGUCGGAUGACUGGGGUGAAGUCGUAACAAGGUAAC
rnacentral:rRNA from 1 species